AACUAACGCUAUUAUUGAUACAGUUUCUGUACUAGAUUGGUACGCGA
rnacentral:misc_RNA from 1 species